GCCGGUGUAGCUCAGCUGGUAGAGCGUCUGAUUUGUAAUCAGAGGGUCGCGGGUUCGAAUCCUGUCACCGGCUCCA
rnacentral:tRNA from 1 species